UUACGGCCAUAUCACGUUGAAAUACCGUUUCCCGUACGAUCACUGAAGUUAAGUAAACGUCGAGCCUGGUUAGUAUCUAGAUGGGUGACCGUUUGGGCAUACCAGGUGCUGUAA